AUUGAACGCUGGCGGCAGGCUUAACACAUGCAAGUCGAACGCGUGGCGGACGGGUGAGUAAUGCUUGGGAAUCUGGCUUAUGGAGGGGGAUAACGACGGGACACUGUAGCUAAUACCGCGUACCAUAGGAUGAGACCAAGUGGGAUUAGGUGGUUGGUGGGGUAAUGUCCUACCAUGCCGAAGAUCUCUAGUUGGUCUGAGCUGAUGGCCAGCCACUCCGGGACUGAGACACUGCCCGGACUCCUUCGGGAGGCAGCUGUGGGGAAUAUGGCGCAAUGGGGGCAACCUGACGCAGCCAUGCCGCGUGAAUGAAGAAGGCUUUCUGGUUGUAAAGUUCUUUCGGUGACGAGUCGUUAAUCACAGAAGAAGCACCGGCUAACUCCGUGCCAGCCGCCGCGGUAAUAC
rnacentral:rRNA from 1 species